rnacentral:rRNA from 1 species
GAUGAACGCUGGCGGCGUGCCUAAUACAUGCAAGUCGAGCGAACGGACGAGAAGCUUGCUUCUCUGAUGUUAGCGGCGGACGGGUGAGUAACACGUGGAUAACCUACCUAUAAGACUGGGAUAACUUCGGGAAACCGGAGCUAAUACCGGAUAAUAUUUUGAACCGCAUGGUUCAAAAGUGAAAGACGGUCUUGCUGUCACUUAUAGAUGGAUCCGCGCUGCAUUAGCUAGUUGGUAAGGUAACGGCUUACCAAGGCAACGAUGCAUAGCCGACCUGAGAGGGUGAUGGGCCACACUGGAACGGAGACCCGGUCAAAACCCCUCCGGAAGGAAGAAGAGGGGAAUCUUCCGCAAGGGGCGAACGCCGGACGGAGCAGCGCGGGGUGAGUGAUGAGGGUUUUCGGAUCAAAAAACUUUUUUAUGGGGGAAAAAAAUAUGUGAAAGAAACUGUCCACUUCUGGAGGUUCCCUAAUAAAAAAGCCACGCCAACCUACGUC